rnacentral:tRNA from 1 species
CGGCCUGCAGCUGGUGGAACGGUACGCCGGUGUCCUCGGUGAGCAGCGUCGAGCUCAUCAGGUUCAUGCCCUGCUGGGCCGUCCA